CUCGUUACUCAGAGGCAAUAUCAUAGCUUAUGAGGUCAAUCCGAGGCGCGGUUAUUGCUGGUUGAAAACUUUACCCAACUCCCCGCCUGGAUGACUUAAAAAUAGUCAGCCUUGGCAGUUUUCGAUGAUCUCUUGCGAGA